GUCACGACCAGUUACUGAGCUAUUAAUUAAUUGCUAAAUAUACCUUCAGCAAGUUGGCCAAUACUUAAUUAUCUUCAGCUGCCUUCAUCAACAGCACAGAAAGGGAUAAAUCUCUCUGACAUUGCAGAAUCCUGCAAGUCUCCUUCUCAUUUUUGGGGGUAAAGCAGGCUGGGUGAUAAAUGUAUUGACUUUUCUUAUGCAAACUCCUUUAAGACAGGGCUAUUUACUCUCAAUGAUCAGAUCUCACUAAGGAAGAGACAGUUUUGGAAAGUGCUUUAUAC